CCACAGAUUCCAACCUGGUUGAUGACUUAUCUCCUCACUGCCCAAGAGUGAUACCUUAUACUCUCGCACUGCGCGCAAGCGUGGCGGCAUCUCGCUAGAGGUGCUGUAUAGAGAGUGGUGAUGAUCUUGUCCCGGUCUCGCGGUCUGCCUUCGGGCGCGUGGAUUGGGUGGGUGGUGAUGGAUGUCUGACAGGC
rnacentral:snoRNA from 1 species